UCCCUGGUGGUCCAGUGGUCAGGACGCGGCGCUCUUGCUGUCGUGGCCCGGGUUCAAUCCCUGGUCAGGGAA